AGGACGAUCAGCCACGACUGGGACUGAGACAGGCCCAGACUCCUACGGGAGGCAGCAGUGGGGAAUAUUGGACAAUGGGCGAAAGCCUGAUCCAGCAAUACCACGUGUGUGAAGAAGGCCUGAGGGUUGUAAAGCACUUUCAAUUGGGAGGAAAACAGCUGGGUUAAUAGCCCUGCUCUUGACAUUACCUUUAGAAGAAGCACCGGCUAACUCCGUGCCAGCAGCCGCGGUAAUACGGAGGGUGCGAGCGUUAAUCGGAAUUACUGGGCGUAAAGCGUACGUAGGCGGUUAUUUAAGUCAGAUGUGAAAGCCCCGGGCUCAACCUGGGAACUGCAUUUGANACUGGAUAACUAGAGUUUGAUAGAGGAGAGUAGAAUUUCUGGUGUAGCGGUGAAAUGCGUAGAGAUCAGAAGGAAUACCAGUGGCGAAGGCGGCUCUCUGGAUCAAAACUGACGCUGAGGUACGAAAGCGUGGGUAGCAAACAGGAUUAGAUACCCUGGUAGUCCACGCCGUAAACGAUGUCAACUAGCCGUUGGGUCCAAUUAAGGACUUAGUGGUGCAGCUAACGCAUUAAGUUGACCGCCUGGGGAGUACGGCCGCAAGGCUAAAACUCAAAUGAAUUGACGGGGGCCCGCACAAGCGGUGGAGCAUGUGGUUUAAUUCGAUGCAACGCGAAGAACCUUACCUACCCUUGACAUACUAAGAACUUUCCAGAGAUGGAUCGGUGCCUUCGGGAGCUUAGAUACAGGUGCUGCAUGGCUGUCGUCAGCUCGUGUCGUGAGAUGUUGGGUUAAGUCCCGUAACGAGCGCAACCCUUAUCCUUAUUUGCCAGCACGUAAUGGUGGGAACUCUAAGGAGACUGCCGGUGAUAAACCGGAGGAAGGUGGGGACGACGUCAAGUCAUCAUGGCCCUUAUGGGUAGGGCUACACACGUGCUACAAUGGCCGGUACAGAGGGCUGCAAACUCGCGAGAGUAAGCGAAUCUCAGAAAGCCGGUCUUAGUCCGGAUUGCAGUCUGCAACUCGACUGCAUGAAGUCGGAAUCGCUAGUAAUCGCGAAUCAGAAUGUCGCGGUGAAUACGUUCCCGGGCCUUGUACACACCGCCCGUCACACCAUGGGAGUGGGUUGCAAAAGAAGUGGGUAGACUAACCUUCGGGAGGUCGCUCACCACUUUGUGAUUCAUGACUGGGGUGAAGUCGUAACAAGGUAGCCCUAGGGGAACCUGGGGCUG
rnacentral:rRNA from 1 species